GCGGAGGUAGCGAAGUUGGUCAAGCACAUGGACCGCUGCUAUAGUAAUCCUAUCGGGUCGCUAAAUAGGCGGUCGGCCGAUGCUCAAGACCUGCUCCCUUAGUGGGUUCCGAGGUUCGAACCCUCGCCUCCGCA
rnacentral:tRNA from 1 species